UACGUAGGGUGCGAGCGUUGUCCGGAAUUAUUGGGCGUAAAGAGCUCGUAGGCGGCCUGUCGCGUCGGAUGUGAAAGCCCGGGGCUUAACCCCGGGUCUGCAUUCGAUACGGGCGGGCUAGAGUGUGGUAGGGGAGAUCGGAAUUCCUGGUGUAGCGGUGAAAUGCGCAGAUAUCAGGAGGAACACCGGUGGCGAAGGCGGCGCUCUGGGCCGUAACUGACGCUGAGGAGCGAAAGCGUGGGGAGCAAACAGG
rnacentral:rRNA from 1 species